rnacentral:misc_RNA from 1 species
GAUGAAGAACGUAGCGAAAUGCGAUAAGUAAUGUGAAUUGCAGAAUUCAGUGAAUCAUCGAAUCUUGAACGCACAUUGCGCCCGCCAGUAUUCUGGCGGGCAUGCCUGUCCGAGCGUCAUUUCAACCCUCGGGCCCCCCUCUGCGGGCGGCCCGGCGUUGGGGCUCAGGCGCCGUCUCUGCUCGGCGCCUGUCCCCUAAAUGCAGUGGCGGCCUCGCCGCUGCCUCCUCCGCGUAGUAGCACAAACCUCGCGGCUGGAAGGCGGCGCGGCCACGCCGUAAAACCCCCCAACUUUACCAAGGUUGACCUCGGAUCAGGUAGGAAUACCCGCUGAACUUAAGCAUAUCAAUAAGCGGAGGA